GAUGAACGCUAGCGGCAGGCUUAAUACAUGCAAGUCGUGGGGCAGCAUGAGUGUAGCAAUACAUUUGAUGGCGACCGGCAAACGGGUGCGGAACACGUACACAACCUUCCUAUAAGUGGGGAAUAGCCCAGAGAAAUUUGGAUUAAUACCCCGUAACAUAAUGAUAUGGCAUCAUAUUAUUAUUAUAGCUUCGGCGCUUAUUGAUGGGUGUGCGGCUGAUUAGAUAGUUGGCGGGGUAACGGCACACCAAGUCUACGAGCAGUAGCUGAUGUGAGAGCAUGAUCAGCCACACGGGCACUGAGACACGGGCCCGACUCCUACGGGAGGCAGCAGUAAGGAAUAUUGGUCAAUGGACGCAAGUCUGAACCAGCCAUGCCGCGUGAAGGAUUAAGGUCCUCUGGAUUGUAAACUUCUUUUAUCUGGGACGAAAAAAGGCUUUUCUAAGUCACUUGACGGUACCAGAUGAAUAAGCACCGGCUAACUCCGUGCCAGCAGCCGCUGUAACAC
rnacentral:rRNA from 1 species